AUUAACUAAUUGUUCAUUCAGUGAUAGCCCCAAGCUAAGUUGCCAAAUCUCCAACAUAAUUGGAUUGUUGGCAAUCUCAAUAGAUUCUUCAAAUCUAUUCUAACUAAUCAUGCCAAGUCCUGCACCAACACCAUCUAUUGAAUUAACAGGUUCUAACUGAUCAUUCAAAAUAUCGUUCUCCAGUUCCAAAUUGAUCACUUCGGAAGUCAGCA
rnacentral:misc_RNA from 1 species